ACGGAAGGCAGCAGUGGGGAAUAUUGCACAAUGGGGGAAACCCUGAUGCAGCGACGCCGCGUGAGUGAAGAAGUAUUUCGGUAUGUAAAGCUCUAUCAGCAGGGAAGAAAAUGACGGUACCUGACUAUGAAGCCCCGGCUAACUACGUGCCAGCAGCCGCGGUAAUACGUAGGGGGCAAGCGUUAUCCGGAUUUACUGGGUGUAAAGGGAGCGUAGACGGUUCUGCAAGUCUGAUGUGAAAGGCAGGGGCUCAACUCCUGGACUGCAUUGGAAACUGUAGAACUAGAGUGCCGGAGAGGUAAGCGGAAUUCCUAGUGUAGCGGUGAAAUGCGUAGAUAUUAGGAGGAACACCAGUGGCGAAGGCGGCUUACUGGACGGUAACUGACGUUGAGGCUCGAAAGCGUGGGGAGCAAACAGGAUUAGAUACCCUGGUA
rnacentral:rRNA from 1 species